rnacentral:rRNA from 1 species
UACGUAGGGUGCAAGCGUUGUUCGGAUUUACUGGGCGUAAAGGGCGCGUAGGCGGCAAAUUAAGUCAGCUGUGAAAUCUCCGAGCUUAACUCGGAACGGUCAGCUGAUACUGAUCUGCUAGAGUGCGGAAGGGGCAAUCGGAAUUCUUGGUGUAGCGGUGAAAUGCGUAGAUAUCAAGAGGAACACCUGAGGUGAAGACGGGUUGCUGGGCCGACACUGACGCUGAGUGCGCGAAAGCCAGGGGAGCAAACGGG